AAUAUUUUAGGAUAAAGUAAGUCUUUAGUAUUCAUUAUUCUAAGGUAAAAAUAUUU
rnacentral:tRNA from 1 species